UCGACACACACACACACACACACACACACACACACACACACACACACACACACACACACACACACACACACACACACACACACACACACACACUACUUAGCUCUGCAUGAGCUGCAGCCCACUCCUUUGCAUUCCAGUGCACUCAGCCUUAUCAAAUAUUUACUGUUGAGUUAUGGCUGCUACCCGCUCUGCAAGGUAACAGACAGGGAAGGCUGAUGUUUAUGGCUGCUACCCGCUCUGCAAGGAACGGACAGGGAAGGCUGAUGCUGAUGUUUAGGGCUGCUACCUGCUCUGCAAGGUAACAGACAGGGAAGGCUGAUGUUUAUGGCUGCUACCCGCUCUGCAAGGGAACGGACAGGGAAGGCUGAUGUUUAGGGCUGCUACCCGCUCUGCAAGGGAACGGACAGGGAAGGGGAAGGCUGAUGUUUAGGGCUGCUACCUGCUCUGCAAGGUAACGGACAGGGAAGGCUGAUGUUUAGGGCUGCUACCCGCUCUGCAAGGAACGGACAGGGAAGGGGAAGGCUGAUGUUUAG
ensembl:lncRNA